CCCUUCCCCGGUGGAGGCCCCGCCCGGGGGGUCCCGGUGCGAGCCCGGCCCGAUCCGCUCAGUGCCGUGCCCGCUGUUGGGGCAGCCCCGAGCCCCCCUCGGUUCCCCCGCCGCCGCUGGGGGCCCGGAGCGGCCUGAGCUGCCGGUGCCGGAGGUUGCUGACAGCGGAGGUUUCCAAACCCAGCGCCCGACGCCGCGGCAGGGGGCGAUGCCGACCGCGUGCCCGGCCCGGUGCCCGGUGCGCCCCGGCACAGACGGGACGAGCCCUCAGCACGGCCCCCGGCAGCACGCGGCCCGGCCUACACCGACGGACGGGGGGUGGGGGGGCCGGGAACGGGGCCGGGGCCCCGGCGAGCCCCAUCCGGCGGGCGCUGAGCCCCGCGCGGGCGCUCCUGGGAGCGAGACAGCUAUUCCCAGCACCUGCUUUUGAAGGGCAUUUUUUCAGGAAGCGCAGUGAGUUGGGUCUGUGUCGUGCAGCAGGAGCCAGGAGCCCUUGCCCCUGGUCCUGCUCGCCUCUGUCCUCACGGGCGGCAGCAGGGCAGGGGCUCCCGGCCGCAACCCCCUGCCCGCCUCUCCGAGGGCUGCCUUCGAGUGGAGGAUGCCAAGCGGCCGGAGAGAGCACCGCUGAGGAACAGCGACAGGUCGAAGAAUGCUUGGAAAACCCUUCUUCCAAUCAGGCAAUCUGCAGCCUGGAUUGUUAAGUGUAGCUCUUUCUUUCCUUGGCUCUCCAGCUCCAUCUGAAUUGGCUUCCUCAGCACUCCAGGAAGGCUUAUGUAAGGUUUAACAGCCAUCACUUUUCCAAAGGUAACAUGGAAAUGUCCUUUUCAUGACACAAGAGGGAGAUUCCCCAUUUGGGAAGUUGAUUUCUUCGCUGUUACCAAAUGACUGCUUUCGAUGCAUCCUUCGUGCAACUUUGAUCUAGUAACUUAAUUCUUUCGAUGAACAAAAAAUAAAAAAUUGUGUUGAUAUUUCU